CCUACGGGGGGCAGCAGUGGGGAAUAUUGGACAAUGGGGGGAACCCUGAUCCAGCCAUGCCGCGUGUGUGAAGAAGGCCCUCGGGUUGUAAAGCACUUUCAGUGAGGAAGAACGCCUGGUGGUUAAUACCCAUCAGGAAAGACAUCACUCACAGAAGAAGCACCGGCUAACUCCGUGCCAGUAGCCGCGGUAAUACGGAGGGUGCGAGCGUUAAUCGGAAUUACUGGGCGUAAAGCGCGCGUAGGUGGCUUGAUAAGCCGGUUGUGAAAGCCCCGGGCUCAACCUGGGAACGGCAUCCGGAACUGUCAAGCUAGAGUGCAGGAGAGGAAGGUAGAAUUCCCGGUGUAGCGGUGAAAUGCGUAGAGAUCGGGAGGAAUACCAGUGGCGAAGGCGGCCUUCUGGACUGACACUGACACUGAGGUGCGAAAGCGUGGGUAGCAAACAGGAUUAGAUACCCUGGUAGUC
rnacentral:rRNA from 1 species